rnacentral:rRNA from 1 species
UUUCUAUGGAGAGUUUGAUCCUGGCUCAGGACGAACGCUGGCGGCGUGCCUAAUACAUGCAAGUCGAGCGGACCAAAGGGAGCUUGCUCCCUGAGGUUAGCGGCGGACGGGUGAGUAACACGUGGGCAACCUGCCCUGCAGACUGGGAUAACUUCGGGAAACCGGAGCUAAUACCGGAUAACACCGAGAACCGCAUGGUUCUUGGUUGAAAGGCGGCUUCGGCUGUCACUGCAGGAUGGGCCCGCGGCGCAUUAGCUAGUUGGUGAGGUAACGGCUCACCAAGGCGACGAUGC